rnacentral:lncRNA from 1 species
AAAUACUGGAGACUAUUAAAACAAAUAAAACUGUUUAUUCCACAACUUUGCACAGCUAAAAAAAAAUCUUCUAUCAUGUCUAGAAACAUGUUUCUGACAUAUGCACACCUCACCAGCAUAUCUCAGGUUAUUAUACACCUCCAACCACAGCCUCACUCAGGUUCUUUUCCAGGCCUUUGCCCCGAGUGUGUGGGGGACCAAAGGGACGUCAUGCUAUAUGGAUGGUAUUGCAAAUUCAUAUCCUUGGAUCUGAAAGUAGUCCUAGAACAUAUCCUAAGGAGAUCAUCUAUCAAGAUUAGAGAAUUUCCUUCAUGAUGUUGUUUAUCGUGGCAAAACUAGGAACAACCUGAAUACCAGUCCCUCCAAGAAGCUAUUGAAUAAUAUGGGUAUCCCUGUUCAGGAAAAAUGCAAACAAACCACUAAA